rnacentral:rRNA from 1 species
AUUGAACGCUGGCGGCAGGCCUAACACAUGCAAGUCGAGCGGGGUUUUCGGACCUAGCGGCGGACGGGUGAGUAAUGCGUAGGAAGCUGCCCGAUAGAGGGGGAUACCAGUUGGAAACGACUGUUAAUACCGCAUAAUGUCUACGGACCAAAGUGUGGGACCUUCGGGCCACAUGCUAUCGGAUGCGCCUACGUGGGAUUAGCUAGUUGGUGAGGUAAUGGCUCACCAAGGCGACGAUCUCUAGCUGGUUUGAGAGGAUGAUCAGCCACACUGGAACUGAGACACGGUCCAGACUCCUACGGGAGGCAGCAGUGGGGAAUAUUGGACAAUGGGCGCAAGCCUGAUUCAGCCAUGCCGCGUGUGUGAAGAAGGCCUUCGGGUUGUAAAGCACUUUCAGCGAGGAGGAAGGGUUGUGUGUUAAUAGUACACAGCUUUGACGUUACUCGCAGAAGAAGCACCGGCUAACUCUGUGCCAGCCGCCGCCGUAACAC